rnacentral:misc_RNA from 1 species
AAGAUUCGGCCCUUGGGCCAACCUCUGCAGCUGUGCGCUUCGGCUGCACGCUGUUGAAUCUCUCACACCUGUGAACAUUCCGGUUGUGAGUUGCCUCGUGGCUGCUCACUUCCGCCUUUACAUCAAACCACAAAGUCUAGAAUGUAAAAAACUUAAAAGUAA